UUGAAAGGGAAACGAUUGAAGUCAGUCAUGCUGGUGGGAAUCAACUUAGGGGAGACUCUAGGUGCACUUCUUCGCUUGGCAGGUUAACGUCGAUCUUGAAUGCCAUAAAAUAAUUGGGGGAAGGUAGCUCCUUCGGGAGUGUUAUAGCCCUUGAUAGAUGUGAUGUUUGGGGUCGAGGAUUGCAACGGAUACCCUUUGGGGCUAGCCGCCUGAUCUCUAAUCGGUGUUGGGUUACGGAUAGCAUGCUGACCGUGAUCUAAUUACUGGCUAAAAGGUUAGAGCGUGCAUAAAUUCGUUAAGGAUGUUGACGUA
rnacentral:rRNA from 1 species